AUCUAAGCUUCGCUGACUCGUGAGUUCAGGUUGUGAGUUAGUAGUGCGCUACAAAAGGUGAUAUCUAUAAUAGAUGACCUGCCGUGUCUAUUGUAUGUCAGAGUUGUGCUAGUAUUGCAUAGUACUACAUCUAGCCGAGCUAGACUAAACAGCGUUGCAUCACCCCUGCUAUUAGUGUGCUUGCUACUCCAUUCUACUGCUCAGGCGUUAAAGUCCUCUGCAACAACAACUGGACUCCCACUAACUCAGCAGUAAGAUUAUCCAGCAUGAUGACAAAUCAGUCAUGCUCCCAGCUAAGGGGAGCAUAGCAACCACAAAAGUCGACUCCGUAAAUUAAAGCGAUGACAAGACUCAAAUUUACUGGAGACCAAGCUUUGUACAGGGAUUCUUUCCAUGACCGAAAUUGCUGGUGGUUUUGUGUGCGAUCCAAUUCAUGGUGCGUGUGAGCGCCUGGUAAGGCACAUAAUUAACCGCUACAUCUCCUUUUUCUUCUGCUGCCACCACUUGCCACAAAAUAUGCUGUUCUGCUUUGCAAUGGUUAAGGUUGACUUGGAUUACUUCCAUGCUUUCCUUGUUAAUGUACACCCGUCCGUCCUAUCCCGUCCUAUCUGGUGAAAAUUUCUGCCUUCAGGGCAAGUGAGGAGCUUGGCUGGUUUAGUACAGCUGCGGGCUUUAUGUACUUCUUCUCUACAUUGAAGAUUUAGCUUGGAUCUAUUCCGGCCUUUGCAGUUUCACGACAUGUGGUCAUAAUCCCAACGGUUGUAGCACCGUUUUGUGACUGGGAAUAUCUGUACAGGAUAGAUCGACCAGCCAAGCUUUAUUUUAUUAGCUGCUUUCAUUUUAUUCGUAUCUUAAUGUGUGCGGUUUGGGUUCCAUUAAAUGCUGUGUUUAACCCCUAUGAAAACAUCCCGGCAAACAAUGCGAGGGUUGGUGAGGUACCUCUCGCUCUAAUUUAUCUAGUCUAGUCUAGUUGCCUCGCUUCCUCCUAUAGCGAUUCUGUCGAGCUGAGCUUUCACGUCCCUCACCACCGAUCUCCUUCCUACCCCUAACUAAGAUCGUCUGACGUCUCGCCUGACUGCUUUCGUUGUGUUGGUGCUAUGCGGCUGCUGUCACUGUAGAAGUCAAGUUGUGUGUGUAAAAAAACGUAAACAGUGUUGUUGGCUGAUCAAUUUUGGUAAGUUUUUUUAAUAAUUAAGGUCUUAAUUUUACGUAAGUAAGUGCCAUUUUAGCAAAAGUUAGUGGUAGAAGUCCUGCCCAAUGCGUGCUGGCUCCGUCGGAAGCGUUACGUGCAUGUACCGGCGUAGGAAAGUGAUGUGGUGAACAACACAGCACAAGACAGCGGAUAUAAUGCAGAAAUGAUAUGGGCCUGCGGCAGGUGUUUGCGACUGUACGUUGCGUUGUAUAUGAUUCGCCAAUUUUCCUCUAUCCUGGAACGUGGGCUUACGAGGAACCAUUUAAGAACAUCCUCCGGAAGCUGUACGGCGACGAGUCGGGCUCUACCAGCACAACACGCUAGAGGCCCAGCCGGCACCGGGUGCCCCGAUUGCGCCGUGAGACAAUGUCGAGCGCGCUCGUUAACAACGUUCGGGGCAGGAAUGCAACCCUUUGGAUCAUUAUCCUCUGCCUCACAAUAGCUGCAGCAGCAACAGGACCGAACCGACCGCACUACUGAUUGCGGUCAAAUUUCCUGGCAGGAGAAAAAAUCUCACAAGUGUAUCGAUUUCAUCGACGGCCGCUCGCUGGCAGCACCAACAUGCCACCGAAUAACUCCGGAAAGGCGACUAACACUCAUCUCCAGCGGCAAAUUGGUAACAUUAACCCACUUUCACACAUCUAUACGACGUCACGUUAAUAGUGUUAUUGUGAUGAUGUUAACGAGUUAAGAUUAGACUUAAGUACGCUUUAAGGCAUACAUCGAUAUACAUAAUUUUAAGUUAAGUGUUUUGACACGCGCGUGUGUGUCAAGGGGCGGCAUCCACUCGUAUGUGCGGGUUUUACACUACAUUUUAGAUAAAUAAAUCUAGUUUAUAUUCUCAUAAAACACUACGCAUUUUUAAAGGGGGAAUAAAGAUGAUGACAUAUGUUUAGUUUGUUAGAAGGUUUGUAUGCACGUUCACUAGUUUAUUUUAUCUGGAUGUUUUGCGGACUGCUUUUUGAUUACGCAUGUCACUUUGCCUCGUCUCUUGUUUUACAAACCCCAACAGCAAGGAUGCGGCUAGUCUAUCAUUGGAUUAACUAGGUGGAUCUGGUAGCUUGUAGCGCACCAUACUCGCCUGUCCGCGAUGGGUUGGCCAUGUCAUGGUAGUGAACGAUCCAGCCCAUAGUCGUUCGCAAGGACAGACAAAAGGAAGCUGUUUGGCGUGUCAAAGAAUGUGUAACAGAUGGUAGAAGAUGGGUACCUGCGGAUGAGAGAUUCCGUUUCUAACGUUUUAUUAUCAGUUGGUUACACGUUCAAACUGAUGUGCACGGAUCACGGCCCGAUCCUGAGGGCUCACCGUUGAAAAAGGCGCUGUCAGCGUGUGAUGUGCUCAAUGAGGAUCUUGACACGGAACCGAGAGUGGUCAGAGUGGUCAGGAUACAUACAGUGGCGGAUUAAGGGUAUCGGGGGCCCUUGGCGGUAAGACGAGUUGAGGCCCCCUGUAAAUGGUAAAUGGUGGUCCGUGGGGGGGGGGGGGGGGGGGGGGGUGAGGUGGUAGCGGCACUAAAAUGGCUGUUGGGAGUUUGAACGCCGUCGGGGGGCCCUACGAUCAUCAGUCACAGGCUCUAAAAUUGAUUCGCCAGCCUCGGGGCCCCAACGUCCAUCCUUCCGGGGGCCCUUGUCGCUGGUACUCUGUCCAUACGGCAUACUAUAGAAUGGCGAUCUACGGGGCCCCUUAAUCGGCGGGGCCCCAGGCGACCGCCUAGUUCGCCUACCGUUAGAUCCGACACUGGAUACAUAAAGGAUGAUAAUAUCAUGCCCGUCAUAGGUUUAAGCCUCAUAUAGACGGUCCCCUCGUAGUAAGGACUGGCCAGCCGGGUGUGUGGUACUAAAAAAAGACGCUAAAGCUUGCAUUGGCUGGCAUGACCGGGUAGAUGGAUACGGCAAAUAGAAGAAGAAGAAACAGGAAAAUGGAAAGCAGCAGUCUGUAGAAGCUUCGGUUGAGACCUUUGCUGUUAAAGAAGAGGGAAAUGUCGUUGCAUGUGGAUGGAAUGAUGAGAUUGUGGGUGGUUCGGGUGAUGAAUGGUUGGGAGCGGAGAUGAAUGAAUUGGCGAAGCCAGUUUACCUCUUUCCAUGCGUUGUAUGAGGAAUCAAUGAAAAUAGUCAAAUCGUAUUUGAA